AUUGAACGCUGGCGGCAGGCCUAACACAUGCAAGUCGAACGAGUGGCGGACGGGUGAGUAAUGUCUGGGAAACUGCCCGAUGGAGGGGGAUAACUACUGGAAACGGUAGCUAAUACCGCAUACCAUCGGAUGUGCCCAGAUGGGAUUAGCUAGUAGGUGGGGUAACGGCUCACCUAGGCGACGAUCCCUAGCUGGUCUGAGAGGAUGACCAGCCACACUGGAAAUGAGACACGGUCCAGACUCCAACGGGAGGCAGAAGGGGGGAAUAUGUAACAAUGGGCGCAAGCCGGAUGCAGCCAUGCCGCGUGUAGGAAGAAGGCCUUCGGUUUAUAAAGUACUUUCAGCGAGGAGGCGUUACUCGCAGAAGAAGCACCGGCUAACUCCGUGCCAGCAGCCGCGGUAAUAC
rnacentral:rRNA from 1 species